CAGUCGCCGCGGGAAUACGUAGGGCGCAAGCGUUAUCCGGAAUUAUUGGGCGUAAAGAGCUCGUAGGCGGUUUGUCGCGUCUGCCGUGAAAGUCCGGGGCUCAACCCCGGAUCUGCGGUGGGUACGGGCAGACUAGAGUGAUGUAGGGGAGACUGGAAUUCCUGGUGUAGCGGUGAAAUGCGCAGAUAUCAGGAGGAACACCGAUGGCGAAGGCAGGUCUCUGGGCAUUAACUGACGCUGAGGAGCGAAAGCAUGGGGAGCGAACAGGAUUAGAUACCCGGGUAGUCCCUGUCUCUUAUAC
rnacentral:rRNA from 1 species